rnacentral:tRNA from 1 species
GUGUGGCUCAGUGGUCGAGUGCUUGCCUAGCAUGUGCAAGGCCCUGAGUUCAAUCCCCUGCACA